UGGGGAAUAUUGGACAAUGGGCGCAAGCCUGAUCCAGCCAUGCCGCGUGAGUGAUGAAGGCCUUAGGGUUGUAAAGCUCUUUCACCCACGACGAUAAUGACGGUAGUGGGAGAAGAAGCCCCGGCUAACUUCGUGCCAGCAGCCGCGGUAAUACGAAGGGGGCUAGCGUUGCUCGGAAUCACUGGGCGUAAAGGGCGCGUAGGCGGACGUUUAAGUCAGGGGUGAAAGCCCGAGGCUCAACCUCGGAAUUGCCCUUGAUACUGGAUGUCUCGAGACCGGAAGAGGUGAGUGGAACUGCGAGUGUAGAGGUGAAAUUCGUAGGUAUUCGCAAGAACACCAGUGGCGAAGGCGGCUCACUGGUCCGGAUCUGACGCUGAGGCGCGAAAGCGUGGGGAGCAAACAGGAUUAGAUACCCUGGUAGUCCACGCCGUAAAACGAUGGAUGCUAGCCGUUGGCCAGCUUGCUGGUCCGUGGCGCAGCUAACGCUUUAAAGCAUCCCGCCUGGGGAGUACGGCCGCAAGGUUAAAACUCAAAAUGAAUUGACGGGGUCAUAGCUGUUUCCUG
rnacentral:rRNA from 1 species